UGGGGAAUUUUCCGCAAUGGGCGAAAGCCUGACGGAGCAAGACCGCGUGUGGGAAGAAGGCCUUUGGGUCGUAAACCACUUUAAUCAGGGAAGAAGUCAGUGACGGUACCUGAAGAAAAAGCCUCGGCUAACUCCGUGCCAGCAGCCGCGGUAAUACGGAGGAGGCAAGCGUUAUCCGGAAUCAUUGGGCGUAAAGAGUCCGUAGGUGGCAUCAAAAGUCUGCUGUCAAAGCCUUGGGCUAAACCGAAGAGAGGCAGUGGAAACUAGGAAGCUAGAGUGCGGUAGGGGUAGAGGGAAUUCCCGGUGUAGCGGUGAAAUGCGUAGAGAUCGGGAAGAACACCAGUGGCGAAAGCGCUCUACUGGGCCUGCACUGACACUGAGGGACGAAAGCUAGGGGAGC
rnacentral:rRNA from 1 species